rnacentral:lncRNA from 1 species
CCCAAAUCCCGGCCCCGAUCCCAAUCCCGGGGUCCGGAGAGCUGCGGGACGGCCCCGGAGCAGCCCCUGGAUCCCUGGAACAGCCCCUGGAUCCCCGGAAUAGAUCCUGGAAUAGCCCCGGAACAGCUCCUGGAUCCCCGGAAUAGCUCCGGAGCAGCCCCUGGAUCCCUGGAAUAGGUCCUGGAUCUCCGGAAUAGAUCCUGGAAUAGCCCCGGAACAGCUCCUGGAUCCCUGGAAUAGCCCCGGAACGGCCCCUGGAUCCCUGGAAUAGCCCCUGGAUCCCCGGAAUAGAUCCUGGAACAACCCCUGGAUCCCUGGAAUAGCUCCGGAACGGCUCCUGGAUCCCCGGAAUAGCCCCGGAACGGCCCCUGGAUCCCUGGAACAGCUCCUGGAUCCCCGGAACGGCUCCUGGAUCCCCGGAAUAGCCCCGGAACAGCCCCUGGAUCCCCGGAAUAGCCCCGGAACAGCCCCUGGAUCCCCGGAAUAGCCCCGGAACAGCCCCUGGAUCCCUGGAAUAGCCCCGGAACAGCCCCUGGAUCCCCGGAAUAGCCCCUGGAUCCCCGGAAUAGAUCCUGGAAUAGCCCCGGAACAGCCCCUGGAUCCCCGGAAUAGCUCCGGAGCAGCCCCUGGAUCCCUGGAAUAGCUCCGGAACGGCUCCUGGAUCCCCGGAAUAGCCCCGGAACAGCCCCUGGAUCCCUGGAAUAGCUCCGGAACGGCUCCUGGAUCCCCGGAAUAGCCCCGGAACAGCCCCUGGAUCCCCGGAAUAGAUCCUGGAAUAGCCCCGGAACAGCCCCUGGAUCCCCGGAAUAGCCCCGGAACAGCCCCUGGAUCCCCGGAACAGCCCCUGGAUCCCUGCCCGGCGCUUUCCGGGCGUUUUUUCCUGCGAACAGGAGAAUCCCCGGAUUUCCGAACCCCCGGAUUUCCCAGUCUCUGGAUUUCCCAGCCCCCGCUCCAAGGAGUGUCCCGGGAGCCCGAGCAGACUCCGAGCCCUUCCCCGACCCAGCGCCACUUCCCGGGAAUCCCGGCCCGGGAGGAGCCGCCCGACGGAGCCGCUGCUGCUUUUCCUGGAUUUGGGUUUUUUCCGUGGAUUUUUUUGGCACCGGGGACACCGGGGUGUGGCCGAAGCCGAGACUUCUUCCUUCCUUCCUCAUCCUCCGGCUUCUCCUGGGAUUGUCCCGAGGGUUUUCCUGGGAAAAGGACCCCGGCAGGUCCCGCUCGCCCCUGGCAUGGAAUUGUCGCCGCCGCGCUGCCCCCGGCCCGGACCCUCCGCUGGAUUCCCGAGGCUGUCCUGAGGCCGGCCAGCUUG